CCCGGGAGGGGAGUGAAAGAGAACCUGAAACCCUGUGUUUACAAGCUGUGGAAGAACUUUAAAGUUCAACCGCGUACUUUUUGUAGAACGGUCCGGCGAGUUACUCUUACUGGCAAGGUUAAGGACUAAAGGUCUGGAGCCGAAGGGAAACCAAGUCUUAAUAGGGCGUUAUAGUCAGUGUGAGUAGACCCGAAACCGGGUGACCUACCCAUGUCCAGGAUGAAGUUGCCGUAAAAGGCAAUGGAGGUCCGAACACACAUCCGUUGAAAAGGGUGGUGAUGAGGUGUGGGUAGCGGAGAAAUUCCAAUCGAACCCGGAGAUAGCUGGUUCUCCUCGAAAUAGCUUUAGGGCUAGCCUCAUAUUAGUCUUGCGGAGGUAGAGCACUGAAUAUCCUAGGGGGCGUCAAAGCUUACCGAAGAUUAUCAAACUCCGAAUGCCGUAAAGAUGAUGUAUGGGAGUCAGACUGCACGAGAUAAGUUGGGUAGUCAAAAGGGAAAGAGCCCAGACCUACAGCUAAGGUCCCAAAGUACGUGUUAAGUGGAAAAGGAUGUGGGAUUUCGAAGACAACUAGGAUGUUGGCUCAGAAGCAGCCAUACAUUCAAAGAGUGCGUAAUAGCUCACUAGUCGAGAGGUCCUGCGCCGAAAAUGUCCGGGGCUGAAACACGACACCGAAGCUUAGGAAUCGAAAGAUUGGUAGAGGAGCAUUGAAUACGGAACGAAGCAGUACCGGAAGGAGCUGUGGACUGUAUUGAAGAGAGAAUGCCGGAAUGAGUAGCGAGAUUUAAGUGAGAAUCUUAAAGGCCGAAUAUCUAAGGUUUCCAGGGUAAAGCUGAUCUUCCCUGGGUAAGUCGGGGCCUAAGGCGAGGACGAAAGUCGUAGUCGAUGGAUAACAGGUUGAAAUUCCUGUACCGCAUAUAUUCAGAAAUGUGGGGACACAGAUGGAGAGUACAGCCCGGGAAUGGAUAGACCGGGGCAAGCGAGGUAGGAGAAUGGCAGGCAAAUCCACCAUUCAAUCUGAAGACGUGACGCGUACCGAACAAGAGUAGGGAAGUGUAUGAGCCAGCUGUCGAGAAAAGCCGCUAUUGUGAUAUAUGUGCCCGUACCGUAAACCGACACAGGUGGAUGAGGAGAGAAUCCUAAGGCCGGCGGGAGAAGUGUUGUUAAGGAACUCGGCAAAAUGACUCCGUAACUUCGGGAGAAGGAGUGCCACAGAGAUGUGGCCGCAGAGAAAUGGCCCAAGCAACUGUUUAGCAAAAACACAGGUCUAUGCAAAACCGAAAGGUGAGGUAUAUGGGCUGACGCCUGCCCGGUGCUGGAAGGUUAAGAGGAGAGGUUAGCGCAAGCGAAGCUUUGAAUUUAAGCCCCAGUAAACGGCGGCCGUAACAAUAACGGUCCUAAGGUAGCGAAAUUCCUUGUCGGGUAAGUUCCGACCCGCACGAA
rnacentral:rRNA from 1 species